GAGUUUAUUACUGUGUGGCCACCAAUCAGCUUGGUGAUCAAACAUCAUCAGAGAUCCAUCUGAAUAUAGGAGGUGAUCAACUGGUUGGUGCUCAAGUCAUCGUGAAGGUCCUGGGAAUCAUUCUGCUCGUCACUACUUUGCUCAUCUUUGAGUGCUGGUUGAAAUCAAGACGCUGCACCAAACCACAGGAGGUAAGACAUCAGAAGAGGAGAGAUAUUUCAUGAUCAGGCCCUUGUUUGGUUUACAACAUUAGCACAGGAAUAAUCUUUCAAUGGUGGUGAUGUUUAAAGAGCAGAGUCU